rnacentral:rRNA from 1 species
GACGUAGGGCGCGAGCGUUGUCCGGAUUUAUUGGGCGUAAAGAGCUCGUAGGCGGCUUGUUGCGUCGUCCGUGAAAACCUGUGGCUCAACUACAGGCUUGCGGUCGAUACGGGCGGGCUGGAGUUCGGUAGGGGAGACUGGAAUUCCUGGUGUAGCGGUGAAAUGCGCAGAUAUCAGGAGGAACACCGGUGGCGAAGGCGGGUCUCUGGGCCGAUACUGACGCUGAGGAGCGAAAGCAUGGGGAGCGAACAGG